CCUACGGGGGGCAGCAGUGGGGAAUAUUGGGCAAUGGACGCAAGUCUGACCCAGCAACGCCGCGUGAAGGAAGAAGGCUUUCGAGUUGUAAACUUCUUUUAAGGGGGAAGAGCAGAAGACGGUACCCCUUGAAUAAGCCACGGCUAACUACGUGCCAGCAGCCGCGGUAAUACGUAGGUGGCAAGCGUUGUCCGGAAUCACUGGGCGUAAAGGGCGCGUAGGCGGUAAUAUAAGUCAGAUGUGAAAGGUGGGGGCUCAACCCCUAGAGUGCAACUGAUACUGUAUAACUUGAGUGUGAG
rnacentral:rRNA from 1 species